rnacentral:rRNA from 1 species
GUGGGGAAUCUUGCGCAAUGGGCGAAAGCCUGACGCAGCCAUGCCGCGUGAAUGAUGAAGGUCUUAGGAUUGUAAAAUUCUUUCACCGGGGACGAUAAUGACGGUACCCGGAGAAGAAGCUCCGGCUAACUUCGUGCCAGCAGCCGCGGUAAUACGAAGGGGGCUAGCGUUGCUCGGAAUUACUGGGCGUAAAGGGCGCGUAGGCGGACAGCUUAGUCAGAGGUGAAAGCCCAGGGCUCAACCUUGGAAUUGCAUUUGAUACUGGCUGUCUUGAGUUUGGGAGAGGUGAGUGGAACUCCGAGUGUAGAGGUGAAAUUCGUAGAUAUUCGGAAGAACACCAGUGGCGAAGGCGACUCACUGGCCCAAUACUGACGCUGAGGCGCGAAAGCGUGGGGAGCAAACAGGAUUAGAAACCCUAGUAGUCC